rnacentral:rRNA from 1 species
UACAGAGGGCUCAAGCGUUGUUCGGAUUCAUUGGGCGUAAAGGGUGCGUAGGUGGCGCUGUAAGUCAGGUGUGAAAUUUCGGAGCUUAACUCCGAAACUGCAUUUGAUACUGCGGUGCUUGAGGACUGGAGAGGAGACUGGAAUUUACGGUGUAGCAGUGAAAUGCGUAGAGAUCGUAAGGAAGACCAGUGGCGAAGGCGGGUCUCUGGACAGUUCCUGACACUGAGGCACGAAGGCCAGGGGAGCAAACGGG